GAAUUGUUCACAAAGUUCGCCCAAUUGUUGUCUCUCAGUGAGAUUAUGUCGCUUAAUUUGUUGGUUUACCUUUAUUUUAUUACAUAAAGCUAAGCCUUCCUGAGUGCAUACAUUAAUCAAUUUACCAUAUGAGUAAGUAUCAUAGUUAAUACUCAUUCAUACACCUCUAAGGAGCUUUCUAAUCCUUUCAGCAACUAAGGGGGGAGUACAUCUAUAAAUUUGGACUUCCAAUGAGUACUAUUACUUUCUGGUAAUUCCAUAACUCUGGAUAACAAAACAUCAUCCUGCCGACCACGGCAAGGGGUUGGUCUAGGAUAAUAAAACAUUCUUUGG
rnacentral:lncRNA from 1 species